GCCACCGUAACGAUGCAAUCGUUUUUUUUUUUUUCUAAGUUCUUGUACGUUUCAAUAUCAUAAUUUCUCAAGUUGCGUCGCACUGUAUGUUUAUCGGUCUUCUCGGCGAGCAAUUUCCCGCUGCUUAUUUUUCUUAAUCCAGUACCUUCAUUCAUCAACACAAACAUGACCAU
rnacentral:lncRNA from 1 species